GGGGGCGUCGUAUAAUGGUAGUACGCUGGUCUCCAAAACCAGCUGCGUAGGUCCGAUUCCUACCGCCCCUGCCA
rnacentral:tRNA from 1 species